CUAACAAAUAUAAAUAAAGAACCUUAAAUUGUUGAAAUCGAGGUGCGAUUUGUGGAUAUUGCAAUUUCGUACAAUUGUUAAGUCUAACAAUGGGAAACAUACACUGCCAUUGUCCAGGCUGUUGUCUAGGCUGUUGUCCACGCUUUUGUCGAGCUAACAACGACCACCAUUCCAAACAACCCACUGAUAAAAAUGAUGCCUUAAAUGGUGAGAGUUCGCGCUUAACAAAUGAUGACCGAUUGGUACCAAAAGCGAAGAUUGCUAAACACUAUGAUAGCACUCCGGAUCACAAAAGCCAACAAAAAAAGCGUAAGACGGAUGUUUUAGAGGUAGAGGUCAUGGCAGCCGCCAGGAUAUGUACAGAUGACCGAGAUGCCUAAAUGAUUGCCGGCGAUAUUCACAAGGAAAACAUACCAACAGUUUAUGUCCGUGAUAAUAAUGGCGGGGAGGUGGUUUACUUUCCCGAAUGACGAAUUGGCAUAAAGCAAAUAAUGGACAGCAUUUCGGACCAAAAUAGUACUAUAUCAUGAUUCAAUCGCCUUAUACCACCAAUUUAUAACACAUAUUUUUAACAAGGAAAUUCUCUCUAUCAGAAUAUUGUAAAAUCUUUGUUAUGUGAAAUUAAAUAUCAUAAACAAACAUGCUGGAAAUAUAAUUUGACGAGACUUUAAAUAUUAAUGGUACUAUAAGGAAAACUUUGCGCCAAUAUUUAGAAUUGAUUAAGUAUUUAACUCUAUUAUCAUGUAUUCAGUACAUGAACGAGUGAUAUGGAAGAAAAUGAAACAGUAAUUUACGAACAAAAUAUGGCUAAAAAAGAACCAAAGCAUUUCUGGCAUUAUGCUUUUUUAUGUGCAAACACAAUAUUUCAAAGUCAUCUAUGCCCUUAGAACAUGUUAUAUUAUUUUCCAUUAAAAUGAGGGUUCGUUGCGAAACUCGAUGAAUUAAAACUAGAUAUGACGGAAUAUAUAUGAUGACAACGAUAAUCUACUCAUGUACGUCUUAUAAUUUUCGCGCAUUUAUUAGUUCUUAGACAUUAAGGAAAUACAAAAUUGCGCAAUAGUUACAAGUAAUUGGUUUUGGGAUCCCAAAUGUGAUCUGUUGUCCAGAUAUCGUACGUACUUUUACUAUAUAUUUUAAUGUUCCUUGAGGUUUUCAUUAUUUCCAUCUACUGUAACUGGUAACGGGAUUUUCAUUUACGUACGAUAAAUUAUUUAGUUCUUAAUAAUUAAUUAUUCUGUACAUUACGGUCUUAGUGAAUGUUGUUUCUAUUGUAUUUCAUUUUCAAUUAGCAUUAAAUGCUUCCAUUCUUCGAUCUGUGCGAAUUAGCGUUAAGCGCUAAUAUUCUUUGAUCCAUAAUAGAUGUAAAUAAUUAAAGAAGUCGAUAGUAUAAACAGCCCAUUUUAUUCUCUGUAAAAUAUCCAGAAAACACUGUGUUAAUUUAUUAAAACAAGAUAAAUGUUUGCAUGCAUAAAUAUCAUUUAUGAUAUAUAAGUACAUAUGCAACGAUAUUGAUUCUUAUUAUAUGUUAAUAAAUCACACAGAAUAUUAUUCAAUUUCACUAACAGUUUUCAAGCAUUAACAUUGUUUUAUCAACUCCUAAAAUAAAGAAAUUAUUUAUUUAUGAGAAAACAGUACUAUUUGUUUAACUAAUAUGAUACUUAUAAAAUAGCAAUUAUCAUAAAUACGCAAUAUAUAUUUAUUUGGAUAUUAUGCAGUCAAACAACUUUUCUGAAUACCCUACACUGAAUGUAGCUGAAACAAAUUAAAGUAGUAGACAAUAAUUUAAGUAUGAAUAUAUUUAUUUGCAAAUACGUUUCUCACGUGAUCCUACGUGGUCUCACGUGGUACGCUGAUUCACCCACUUUUUUAUAUUUGUUCGGGUCAAAGCUGUUAACCCUUAGUCAUGGAACUUUCUGGAAGUUUCUACUGCUUACGUUUGCGUUCUUGAUUUGGUAAACAAUUUAGAUUGGAAUGUGCUACUCUUUCUCUUAGCUUACUAAGCUGUUUUCUUAUAGUACAUCAAGGUAGUUUUUCAAUAUGAUAGAGUUUGUAGCUCACCUGGCACAAAAAGUGUACCGAUGUGGUUUUUUUUAAAACUGGGCUUAAUGCGAUAUAAAUUGCCCAAUUCCUUAAGUAUUUUUAACAAUAUAUAAUAGUUAUUCUAAACAAGAUGCAAAAGUUAUUUUAAACAAUAUGCACUAGUUAUUUUAAACAAUAUGCAAUAGUUAUUUUAAACA